rnacentral:rRNA from 1 species
AACGAACGCUGGCGGCAUGCCUAACACAUGCAAGUCGAACGAGACCUUCGGGUCUAGUGGCGCACGGGUGCGUAACGCGUGGGAACCUGCCCUUAGGUUCGGAAUAACUCCCCGAAAGGGGUGCUAAUACCGGAUAAUGUCUUCGGACCAAAGAUUUAUCGCCUUUGGAUGGGCCCGCGUUGGAUUAGCUAGUUGGUAGGGUAAAAGCCUACCAAGGCGACGAUCCAUAGCUGGUCUGAGAGGAUGAUCAGCCACACUGGGACUGAGACACGGCCCAGACUCCUACGGGAGGCAGCAGUGGGGAAUAUUGGACUAUGGGCGAAGGCCUGAUCCAGCAAUGCCGCGUGAGUGAUGAAGGCCUUAGGGUUGUAAAGCUCUUUUACCCGGGAUGAUAAUGACAGUACCGGGAGAAUAAGCUCCGGCUAACCCCGUG